rnacentral:rRNA from 1 species
CUCCGGUUGAUCCUGCCGGACCCGACUGCUAUCAGAGUGGGACUAAGCCAUGCGAGUCAACGCAGCAAUGCGUGGCAUACGGCUCAGUAACACGUAGUCAACAUGCCCAGGGGACGUGGAUAACCUCGGGAAACUGAGGAUAAACCGCGAUAGGCCAAGAUUUCUGGAAUGGAUAAUGGCUGAAAUCUAUAUGGCCCCUGGAUUGGACUGCGGCCGAUCAGGCUGUUGGUGAGGUAAUGGCCCACCAAACCUGUAACCGGUACGGGCUCUGAGAGGAGGAGCCCGGAGAUGGGCACUGAGACAAGGGCCCAGGCCCUAUGGGGCGCAGCAGGCGCGAAACCUCUGCAAUAGGCGAAAGCUUGACAGGGUUACUCUGAGUGAUGUCCGUUAAGGGCAUCUUUUGGCACUUCUAAAAAUAGUGUAGAAUAAGGGGUGGGCAAGUCUGGUGUCAGCCGCCGCGGUAAUACCAGCACCCCGAGUGGUCGGGACGAUUAUUGGGCCUAAAGCAUCCGUAGCCGGUUCUGCAAGUCUUCCGUUAAAUCCACCUGCUCAACAGAUGGGCUGCGGAGGAUACUACAGGGCUAGGAGGCGGGAGAGGCAAGCGGUACUCAGUGGGUAGGGGUAAAAUCCUCUGAUCCACUGAAGACCACCAGUGGCGAAGGCGGCUUGCCAGAACGCGCUCGACGGUGAGGGAUGAAAGCUGGGGGAGCAAACCGGAUUAGAUACCCGGGUAGUCCCAGCUGUAAACGAUGCAGACUCGGUGAUGGGUUGGCUUCGAGCCAACCCAGUGCCGCAGGGAAGCCGUUAAGUCUGCCGCCUGGGGAGUACGGUCGCAAGACUGAAACUUAAGGAAUUGGCGGGGGAGCA